rnacentral:rRNA from 1 species
GACGAACGCUGGCGGCGUGCUUAACACAUGCAAGUCGAGCGGUAAGGCACCUUCGGGUGUACACGAGCGGCGAACGGGUGAGUAACACGUGAGUAACCUGCCCUUCUCAUCGGAAUAAGCGUUGGAAACGACGUCUAAUGCCGAAUAUGACUGCGGAAGGCAUCUUCUGAAGUGGAAAGCUCCGGCGGAGAAGGAUGGACUCGCGGCCUAUCAGCUUGUUGGUGAGGUAACGGCUCACCAAGGCGACGACGGGUAGCCGGCCUGAGAGGGUGACCGGCCACACUGGGACUGAGACACGGCCCAGACUCCUACGGGAGGCAGCAGUGGGGAAUAUUGGACAAUGGGCGCAAGCCUGAUCCAGCAACGCCGCGUGAGGGAUGACGGCCUUCGGGUUGUAAACCUCUUUCAGCAGGGACGAAGCGCAAGUGACGGUACCUGCAGAAGAAGGACCGGCCAACUACGUGCCAGCCGCCGCCGUAACAC